UACGGAGGGUGCAAGCGUUGUCCGGAAUCACUGGGCGUAAAGCGCGCGCAGGCGGCGAUCUACGUCCGGGGUGAAAGCCCAGAGCUCAACUCUGGGACUGCCUUGGAUACGGGAUCGCUUGAGGAUCGGAGAGGCAAGGGGAAUUCCACGUGUAGCGGUGAAAUGCGUAGAGAUGUGGAGGAACACCUGUGGCGAAGGCGCCUUGCUGGCCGAUUUCUGACGCUGAGGCGCGAAAGCGUGGGGAGCAAACAGG
rnacentral:rRNA from 1 species